rnacentral:lncRNA from 1 species
GAGCUAUGAGAUCAUGUUAGAAAGAAUAUGCAUGUUGGCAUCAUAUAAUGCAUGCUAGAUAAAAUGUGGAUAUCUAUUGAACUCGAUGUGGACAAGUAGGAUGUCGAAUAGAUCGAGUUGCACUUAACCUAGUGUAUUAAACAUAGGUUGAACAUGAAUGACAAUGAACCUAGUGUUAUUAAACAUAGGUCGAGUGGCAUCUAACCUAGUGUUAAAGAACAUAGGUUGAGAAUAAACCUAGAGUUAACUAAAUCUAGGUGUGUGGCAUUAACCUAGUGUCGUGAACAUAGGUUAUGGAUUGAACCUAGAGUUAAAGUAAACCUAGGUUAUGUGAUAGAGACGUUGAGCCUAGAGUCAAUUGGACCUAGGGUGAAAAGGACGUUGGACCUAGAUAGGUCAAUGCUAUAGGGUUUGAAACCAACCCUUGAGUUAUGAAAUGGAUUCCGGAAUCCCUAGUGAUGUGGCCGCACAUGGAGCGGUGAAAAUUGUGAUAAAAGAGAUGGCAAGUGAAUCAUAACUGCAGGUAUGUAUGGUUCUCCUCGCCUGGCAGUGAUUCAACGGGUAUGUGUGGUUCUCCUCGCCCGGGAUGCCAUGAGAAUAAGCUGGAAUUGGGUAUGUGUGGUUCUCCUCGCCCAUUAGCUUAUCGGAUGAUGCCGCCUAGGUUGACUUGAACCAUUGUUGGGUGAGAGCGAUGUGGUCGCUGCCAGAUGACUAAGUUAUGACUUGAACCAUUGUUGGGUGAGGUGCGAUGAGUUCGCCGCCAGAUGGCUAAGUCAUGACUUGAGUUGUUGUUGGGUGAGAGCGAUGAGUUCGCCGCCAGAUGGUUAAGUCAGAUGCAGCCAGGCUGAGGUGCAGCCAGUGCGCGGACUAUCCGCGGAUGAUUGACUCGAGGCCGAGUCGGGUGAUUAGCUUGAUUAGGUUAAUGGGAACCUUAUAAGCUAGUGAUCAAGGCAAGAACCUGAGGUAAUAGAGACCUUAGAAGCAAGUUGAACUUGAGUUGAGAACGUAAGGUAAUGGAAACCUUACAAUUGAAUGAAAUGACCUAAAGUAGCAAAGUAAAUGUAGAAUUAACAUAUCUACUAGUUGUUUAUGCAGUUGCAUAGUUGCAUAAUGUUCAUAUUGCAUUUGCGAGGCAAGGUAUGGUUUUAUUAAUUGCAUAGUCAAAUAUCUAUCUAUCUAUUUAUUAAACUAACCUGCAGUUGCCUCCUUGGACCUAUUGGUCGAGCUCCUCCCUUGGGUGGCCGUACCCACUGGAAACCAUGGAGUUGGUUCUCACCCCACGUUGUUUUGGGGUGUUACAGGUUCGCACGUGAGCGGCGCGGCGGCGCGAGGCAAGGGCGUAGCUCCAUAGAUAGCGCCCUACCCCAGAGACCAGAAAUAGCGGUACCCCGAGUCGGCAUAGCCUAGGGGUAGAGGGAAAAGAAAAAGAGUAAACUUGUAUUAAUAUUGCGAUCAUUGAUUGUAUUUGGAAGAAAAUGUAAUGUAAUAAUGCUAAUGUGAUGUAAAAAUGAAUCUAAUGAAUGCUUGUAAUAACAUAGNUUUCUUGCAUAGUUGCAACCUAGGGCUCCAGAAUGCAAUUUUUGCUAAUAGAUGGGUUUGAUCUAAAUCGAACAUAUAUAAACCUAAUUGCUAGGUAACGAAACGCGUUGGCGAAGACGGAUCGGCAAUCUGACGAGCCGUUACAAAGUUAUUAAAGAAACGGACGUUUAGGCUUCGUUUCCGCCUGGAGGGCCGAGGCGACGUCGUAAAAUCAUGAAAACGGAUUUGAAGUACCGUGGCACAUAACCGAAGACCUUUAAUUUUCGGAUCGCAAAUCGGAGAUCGUUUGGGUGAUUGCGCGAGAGUUCGAGCCAAACCGGGUCGCGGGUGUCGCGUGCGGCCGAUUGCAAGUGACUACAAGCAAUCGGAGAGUAAGUUAAGGUGGGUUGUGCUUACCGAAGCGACUAGGUCGCCCUUUAUGUCUAAGAGAAAUGUAAAUUCAUAUUGAUGCAUAUAAAUGGUAGAUGGAUGCAAGAGUUAAAUGCUAGGCGAAUGCAUGUUAAUUGCUAUGCUACGACUACCAUAGAAUGCAUGAUGAACAUAUUAUAGGAAUGCUAAAUAAUGCAUGUGAGCACAUUGUAAAGAAUGCAUAUUAAUGACAUAAUGUAAAUAUGCUAGUUAAUACAUGUAUGAUGACAUGAUGAGAAAAUGCUAGAUUACAUGCAUAUUAACAUGUUGUAGAUCAUGUGAGAAAGAUUAUGCAUGUUGGCAUCAAAUAAUGCGCAUGCUAGAUAAAAUGUUGAUAGUUAUGGAACUCGACAUGGACAAUUAGGAUGUCAAAUAGAUCGAGUGGCACUUAACCUAGUGUAUAAAACAUAGGUUGGACAUGAAUGACAAUGAACCUAGUGUUAUUGAACAUAGGUCGAGUGGCAUCUAACCUAGUGUUAAAGAACAUAGGUUAUGGAUUGAACCUAGAGUUAAGUAAACCUAGGUUAUGUGAUAGAGACGUUGAACCUAGAGUCAGUUGGACCUAGGAUGAAAAGGACGUUGGACCUAGAUAGGUCAAUGCUAUAGGGUUUGAAACCAACCAUUGAGUUAUGAAAUGGAUUCCGGAAUCCCUAGUGAUAUGGCCGCACAUGGAGCGGUAGAAAUUGUGAUCAAAGAGAUGGCAAGCGAAUCAUAACUGCAGGUAUGUGUGGUUCUCCUUGCCUUGCAGUGAUUCAACGGGUAUGUGUGGUUCUCCUCGCCCGAGAUGCCAUGAGAAUAAGCUGGAAUUGGGUAUGUGUGGUUCUCCUCGCCCAUUAGCUUACUGGAUGAUGCCGCCUAGGUUGACUUGAACCAUUGUUGGGUGAGAGCGAUGUGGUCGCUGCCAGAUGACUAAGUUAUGACUCGAACCAUUGUUGGGUGAGGUGCGAUGAGUUCGCCGCCAGAUGGCUACGUCAUGACUUGAGUUGUUGUUGGGUGAGAGCGAUGAGUUCGCCGCCAGAUGGUUAAGUCAGAUCUGCGGUAGGCUGCGACGGCAGCCAGGCUGAGGUGCAGCCAGUGCGCGGACUAUCCGCGGAUGAUUGACUCGAGGCCGAGUCGGGUGGUUAGCUUGAUUAGGCUAAUAGGAACCUUAUAAGCUAGUGAUCGAGGUAAGAACCUGAGGUAAUAGAGACCUUAGAAGCAAGUUGAACUUGAGUUGAGAACAUAAGGUAAUGGAAACCUUACAAUUGAAUGAAAUGACCUAAAGUAGCAAAGUAAACGUAGAAUUAACAUAUCUACUAGUUGUUUAUGUAGUUGCAUAGUUGCAUAAUGUUCAUAUUGCAUUUGCGAGGCAAGGUAUGGUUUUAUUAAUUGCAUAGUCAAAUAUCUAUCUAUCUGUUUAUUAAACUAACCUGCAGUUGCCUCCUUGGAACUAUUGGUCGAACUCCUCCCUUGGGUGGCCGUACCCACUGGGAACCAUGGAGUUGGUUCUCACCCCACGUUGUUUUGGGGUGUUUCAGGUUCGCACGUGAGCGGCGCGACAGCGCGAGGAAAGGACGUAGCUCCAUAGAUAGUGCCCUACCCAGAGACCAGAGAUAGCAAUACCCCGUCGACAUAGCCUAGGGGUUUGGGAAAUUAAAAGAAUACAAUGUAUCAAUUUGUAAUAAGUAAAUGAUGUAAUAACUUAAUUGCAUUUGGGAGUUGGAUGUAAAGUAAAUGUAUUAUUGUGAAUGCAUGUAAUAACAUAGGAUGUGUUAUGUUAUGAUACUUUCCUCAUGCAAUUAUGAUUGAUAUCUAUUCCUGGUUGGAACCCUUGUAAUGUUCAUUGUAUUGAUUGCGACGCCUAGGACGUACAGGGGAAACUCUGUCCGUUCGGCGGUCUGUCGACGCGCCCGAACUCGGCCAAAUAGGUGGGGCUCAGGGCGUGACAGUUAAAGUGGUAUCAUAGCAUAAAGUAGAGAAUGGGCAAUGGUUUAGAUAGAACUAGGGGACCCUAGGAUAGUAAACCAUAGGAGAAUAAGGCUCGUGAGAGACGAGGACUUGUGACUUAUGCGAAAGGUUCAUUGAUUGGGUUGUGUUGAAACCUCUAUGACGGAUAUUAGAGGUAGACUCGAGGUGUGGUUUAUUCUCAACCGAGGGUGUCCAUGUUCGGUGCACACAACAUGAAACUGAGUGAUGAGAAUAGACGGCCUUGCGUGACUUUCGCCCGAUUUGAGUCAAUGUUAAAUUGUCUCGUGCUUGACCCAGAGGGUUGAGAAUUAAUUGAGUUGUCGUAUUUCAGGGAACGAUGGCACCGCGUAGACGACCUUCGUCUAGAUCGACUCGGGAUGGCACAGGUGAUGUCCCUGAGCAAUCCGAGGCGAGCGGAGACCAGGUGCUCCGCGAGCAGAUGAGUACGCUCAUGGGCGUAGUGUUGCGACAGGAGGAGCAGAUCAAGGAGCUCCAUGAGUUGUUGGCACGACAGACUGCAGCGGCUACGCCGGUAGCAGCACGCCGUGUACCGACAGGAGUGGCGAUGGAAUCAGGGGUAGUGGCCUCUGAUUCUGUAGAAAUGGAGGCGGAGAAAGAGCGGGCUUUGACGGCCCUAAUGACCUUCAAGAAGUUUGAUCCGCCUGUUUUCGAUGGAGAGAAUGUUGAUCCAUGGAUCGUGGAGAUGUGGAUUGACUCUAUGGAAACGCUCUUUGAGGAGCUGUACACCUUGGAGCGGGACAAGGUGCCCCUAGCUGUGCACUGUUUGAAGUUGUCGGCAAAAGUGUGGUGGAAAGGCAUUCGACGGAAUCGAUCACCUAGUCUCCCUCCUAUGGCAUGGGAUGAGUUUCGGGGAUUGGUGUUUUCAACUUACUUCCCCGACACUGAAAAGAGAAAGCUUCAGGACAGGUUCAGGAAGCUGCGGCAAGGAGACCGCUCAGUGAGAGAGUACGAACGAGAAUUCUCUCGUAUCGUGAAAUGUGUCCCAGAUGUGGUUCGGGAUGACAAGGAUAUGGCCGAUUGGUUCUUGCAUGGACUUCGACUGGAGAUUUACGAGAGGGUGCAAAUUCUUAGGCUCACGACCUUCACGGAGGUGUUGGAUCGAGCAUUGUUGGCAGAGCACGGUGAUGCUUUCGUGCGCGAGAAGCACGAGUCUUCUGAGCGUCAGUGGGGAGGGGUGAAGCCACUAUCGAGAGAUUCGGGUGGACAAUCAAGUUCCAGGCGCCACUCGAAGUCGUCCUCUAGCCGAUCCUCCCCAGGAUGCGUGAUUUGUGGUGGUUCCCACUGGGCUCGGCGGUGUGUGCUGCGCGAUGGUAGAUGCCUUCAUUGCGGGCAGCCGGGCCAUGUACGGGACGAGUGUCCACAAGGGUAUAAUCAGACCCUGAUACAGGCGACGGCCUUUUCCUCCCCAGGACAGCCUGCAGGUGUGCCACCUGCGGCAUGGUCGGAAGCGCGACCGUUGAGGAUGAUGCCACCGAGGGGCUCGCGGCGGGCAGCGGGUGACCGUGGAUACGCGACCCAGGUGGAGGAACCUACUACUGCUGACACUGUCAUGGCAGGUACGAGUUACUUAAGCAAGCAUAUGCUUCUACCUAAUAUUGGACUGUUGCAUAGCAUGCAUUUAUCAUAUGGUCAGCAGCUACUAUUUACAUAUUGCAUAGUAGGGACCGAGUGGUCGGGUAGGUGGACACCCGAGCAUGCUUGCGUCGUGAGAGUGUAGCGCCUGCUGGAGCAGGUAGAGAGCCAUGUAGUACUAACAAAUUGUUAGUGAUAGUUCCUGGACAAGAAAUGAGACUCGCAGUGAACGGGAAACGGUGAAGCGGCUCUCAAGGCAAUGAGAACCAGAUUGCGAGAGUUGCGCCGUGACGUUGAGGAUACCCUGGUAGUUCGAGCAUUUUGAAUAUGGUUCGGUAGAUCGAACAGUGAGAGUAGGAUCACUGUUGAGAAAAUAGCCAGAUAGUUAUCGAGCACGAGCAUGUGGGCCUAAUAACACCCUGAGUUGAGGUGGGCGAGUAGUGCUCGUGUAGUUGGUGUGCAUAGGCAGGUGGCCUACUGCUUGGCUUAGUUGAAACGCUAUAGAGGCGUAGAGCGCUCGAGUAUAGGUACUCGUAGAGCAUGUCGUGUAGGACGACGUUGGCGGGUAUUGCUUGGGGACGACCCGUGCCUGGACCAUUUGUGGACUGUGAAGCCUAGGCCCAUUGGGCAGGCGCAGUCAGCUGUGAGAGACAGCGGCCCUGUACCUAUAGAUAGGGCAGAGAGUUGGUCAGGACGGUAGUCCGAGCUUAGACCCGGGUGCGUGGAAUGCCACGUGUUGGAUCGUGAGAUCGAGGAUACACCUAGUGUGUUGUGACCCAACCCGAGGACUUGACGUGGUUUGGGGUCUUGGUUGCUCCUGUUUGGAGUGGGUGCGAAUUCCCAAGUGAGAAUUUUGCCCGAAAAUUGAGGAUUGGGUCUACGUUGCGAGCAGGAAAUGCUACGCAUAGUUGAGACACGUUAGGCGAUAGACCUACGUAGUGUUUGCGACCGUUGGUGUACCUGUGAAAGCCGACGUAAUCGGUUUAGCCAAUAACUCUGUGGAGGAGUUAGAGUAAGGAGAUGAAUUCUCAAAAUACGAGAGUUGAACUUCGCUCGAGAUCGACUAAUUGUCGAGUGGGAGAGCUUCGCGAAAGUCGAAGAAGUCAAAUGUACCAAAAGUGCAUUGCAAUGGAGUCCGCGAGAGCAAAUGGUGCAAGAAUCUGCACUUGGCAGAUUUGCUCUCGGGGACCGGUCCCUGGCGGGAGGGACCGGUUCCCGAAUGUGGUCUGCGCGAGCUUGCUCUCGGGGACCGGUCCCAGACAGGAAAGGACCGGUUGCCCCGAGGCUAAGGGUCGCGCAGCGCGGGGCAACCGGUCCCAGGUAAGGGAGAGACCGGUCCCCGAGUGUGGCAUUUGCCCAGGUAGGCUGGGUUAUGUUGGAGGAAUUGAGGAACUUGAGGAUAAUGCUCUAUUAUGGAUUCAGAAUCGAGAUGCGCCGGAGUAGGCCAUCUCUUGAUAGAGCAAAGAUCCAAAUAUGAUUUGAACACUCACGAUGAAGCGAUGCACAAUGAUAUUGCCUUCAAGCAAGAUUGGUAAUCGAAUUGUCAUACCCUGAGGGGAAAGUAAAUGCAAACAGAAGUUCUUGCAUGUCAAGUGGUGAAUGGUGUUGAAGCGCGUAGUGUUGUUGAGUUUCAACUUGCGCUACCACCAAGAAUGACGGAGACCCGUAAUGCACUUUUGGAAUUACACACGGCAAAUGUGAGUGAGUCUAGUCUCACGUCCUCCGUAGUGAGCCUUUGGAUAGUUCCAAUGAGCGAAAGGCCACUCCGAGAUGCAAAAGUGCAUUGUACCCCCUUGUCACUCAAUAAAGAGAAUUAGAGUGUGAAUUGGGUUGAAGUGAGUGAGUUUCGGGGCCGAAACUCUUAUUAAGGAGGGGAGGAUGUAAGGUACCGGACUUCUAAAACUGUGAAGUUACGGUGUGCAUUUAAAUGGUUCCGGUGAGGUUGCGGUGGAAUGUAACAUACCGGAUUUUAAAUAUAAAAAUGAAAAUAAAUAAAAAUAGUAUGAGAUACUAUUUUUAUUGGAUUUAGAGAAGUGAAAUAUAAGUUGGGAAUGACCUGUGCUGAAAUCAGAGCGAAAACAGAAGAUUUAGAAUUUUCUGUUGGAAACGGGGCAGAUAAAUUAGCAGAAAAUGCACAGUCUCAGAAAAUUAUGAAAAUUGGCAGAGAUGUCAGAAAUAUUUUUAUGAGGCUAGAUUUAAGGUUUCAUAUUUUUCUGACACCCGUAGAGAGAGAAAUAGAAUCCGAAAGCUAUCUGAUAAAGAUUGCAGUUCGGUACAGUUUUCAGUGACCAAACGGGGUCGAAACUGAAAUAUUAAAAUUUCUUUGGACUUAUUAAGUGAAACCGAACAUGCCUGUCAAAUUUGAGCGAAAACGGACAUCCGGAAGGGCUCCAACGAAAUUUAUCAGAUUUCAAGCUGCCCGAAGUGAAUAGUGCGUAGUUGAGGGGCAAAAUGGUAAAAAGGGUUUAAAACCCCUUUUCUUCUUCUCCUCCCAACCGUGGCUGCCCCAACCGCACACACCACACACGCAUACACAAGAACACACACGCAUGGAAAGGAAAGGAGAGAAAUCCCUUUCUCUCUCUAAAUCUCUCCCAAAAUGGAUGGAUUUGGUGGAGAUUGAAGCUUGGAGGUGGAUCGCCUUCGUCUUCUUCAUCUUCUCCAUGAUUUGGAGCUAAUUUUGAGGUAAGCUUUUGCUACCCUUUAAUGGUAGAUCCUUAAUGGUUGGUUUAAAUAGCUUAGAAAUGGAUUUAGAGGAAUCCUAGCAUGCUAUCUAGAUGAUUGAUGCUUAAUUCGUGAAGGGAUUUGAUGAUUUCUUGCAUAGUUGCAACCUGGGGCUCCAAAAUGUAAUUUUUGCUAAUAGAUGGGUUUGAUCUAUUUUGACCCUAUGUAAACCUAAUUGCUAGGUAACGAAACGCGUUGGCGAAGACGGUUCGGCAAUCCGACGAGCCGUUACAAAGUUAUUAAAGAAAUGGACGUUUAGGCUUCGUUUCCGCCUGGAGGGCCGAGGCGAUGUCGUAAAAUCAUGAAAACGGAUUUGAAGCACCGUGGCACAUAACCGAAGACCUUUAAUUUCCGGAUCGCAAAUCGGAGAUCGUUUGGGUGGUCGCGCGAGAGUUCGAGCCAAACCGGGUCGCGGGUGUCGCGGGCGGCCGAUUGCAAGUGACUACAAGCAAUCGGAGAGUAAGUUAAGGUGGGUUGUGCUUACCGAAGCGACUAGGUCGCCCUUAUGUCUAAGAAUAUUAAGAAUUCGUGUUGAUGCAUAUAAGUGUUAAACAAUGCAUGUUAAUGUGAAUGCUAAGUAGAAAUGCAUAGUGAGCAAGUUACAUAAUGCUAGUAAUGCAUGAUAAUAAUGUAAUGCUAGUAAUGCAUGAUAUGAUGUAAAUGCUAAAGUAGAUGCAUAUAAAAGAUUAUAUAUAUGCAUGUAAACUAGAAGGAUGCAUGUAAAUAUAAUGCAUAGAAUGAAAUGCAUGUUGAUGACAUAGUCUAGAAAUGCUAAAUGUAAUGUGCAUGUUAAUAUGAUAAGAAACCAUGCUAGUAAGUGAAUGCAUAUUAAUACAUAUGUGUAUAAUGAGCAUGUUGGAUAAGAUUCGUGUACAUGUAGACUCGAGAUGACAAUAGGAUGUCAAGUAGAUCGAGUGGCACCUAACCUAGUGUUAAAGAACAUAGGUUGUGAAUGAAUCUAGAGUCAUGUGAACUAGAUCGAGUGGCAUCUAACCUAGUGUAUAAAACAUAGGUUGGACAUGAAUGACAAUGAACCUAGUGUUGUUGAACCUAGGAUGAAUCAUGAGUGGCAUCUAACCUAGUGUUAAAGGACAUAGGUUAUGGAUUGAACCUAGAGUUAAGUAAACCUAGGUUAUGUGAUAGAGACGUUGAACCUAGAGUCAGUUGGACCUAGGGUGAAAAGGACGUUGGACCUAGAUAGGUCAAUGCUAUAGGGUUUGAAACCAACCCUUGAGUUAUGAAAUGGAUUCCGGAAUCCCUAGUGAUGUGGCCGCACAUGGAGCGGUGGAAAUUGUGGUAAAAGAGAUGGCAAGCGAAUCAUAACUGCAGGUAUGUGUGGUUCUCCUCGCCUGGCAGUGAUUCAACGGGUAUGUGUGGUUCUCCUCGCCCGGGAUGCCAUGAGAAUAAGCUGGAAUUGGGUAUGUGUGGUUCUCCUCGCCCAUUAGCUUAUCGGAUGAUGCCGCCUAGGUUGACUUGAACCAUUGUUGGGUGAGAGCGAUGUGGUCGCUGCCAGAUGACUAAGUUAUGACUUGAACCAUUGUUGGGUGAGGUGCGAUGAGUUCGCCGCCAGAUGGCUAAGUCAUGACUUGAGUUGUUGUUGGGUGAGAGCGAUGAGUUCGCCGCCAGAUGGUUAAGUCAGAUCUGCGGUAGGCUGCGACGGCAGCCAGGCUGAGGUGCAGCCAGUGCGCGGACUAUCCGCGGAUGAUUGACUCGAGGCCGAGUCGGGUGGUUAGCUUGAUUAGGUUAAUGGGAACCUUAUAAGCUAGUGAUCGAGGCAAGAACCUGAGGUAAUAGAGACCUUAGAAGCAAGUUGAACUUGAGUUGAGAACAUAAGGUAAUGGAAACCUUACAAUUGAAUGAAAUGACCUAAAGUAGCAAAGUAAAUGUAGAAUUAACAUAUCUACUAGUUGUUUAUGCAGUUGCAUAGUUGCAUAAUGUUCAUAUUGCAUUUGCGAGGCAAGGUAUGGUUUUAUUAAUUGCAUAGUCAAAUAUCUAUCUAUCUGUUUAUUAAACUAACCUGCAGUUGCCUCCUUGGACCUAUUGGUCGAGCUCCUCCCUUGGGUGGCCGUACCCACUGGGAACCAUGGAGUUGGUUCUCACCCCACGUUGUUUUGGGGUGUUUCAGGUUCGCACGUGAGCGGCGCGGCGGCGCGAGGAAAGGGCGUAGCUCCAUAGAUAGCGCCCUACCCAGAGACCAGAGAUAGCAAUACCCCGUCGACAUAGCCUAGGGGUUUGGAAAAUGAAAAGAAUACAAUGUAUCAAUUUGUAAUAAGUAAAUGAUGUAAUAACUUAAUUGCAUUUGAGAGUUGGAUGUAAAGUAAAUGUAUUAUUGUGAAUGCAUGUAAUAACAUAGGAUGUGUUAUGUUGUGAUACUUUCCUUAUGCAAUCAUGAUUGAUAUCUGUUCCUGGUUGGAACCCUUGUAAUGUUCAUUGUAUUGAUUGCGACGCCUAGGACGUACAGGGGAAACUCUGUCCGUUCGGCGGUCUGUCGACGCGCCCGAACUCGGCCAAAUAGGCGGGGCUCGGGGCGUGACAUCUUGUUGAUUGCUUAAUUAUACAAGUUGUUAGAGCCUUGGGCGGACAGGGAAGGCUCUGUUCGUCCGGCGUCUGUUGACGUGACCCGAACCCGACCAAAUUGGCGGGGAUUGGGGCGUGACAGCCGAUCUUCCUACUAGGUCCAAGCAGGCACAAGCAGAUAGAUAGAUAGAUAUGAAAUUGAAGUGCAACAUAGUAAGGUAAUAUGCAAC